AAGGUUUUAAGUUAAUUAAAACUAGUAGCCUUCAAAGCUGUAAAUAAAGACAUUCUUUAAGCCUUA
rnacentral:tRNA from 1 species